CUGGGUGCUGGCGUCGCUGGUGGGCACCGAGGCAACUUUGGGUAUGCAGGUUCCAAUCCUGGAAGUCGAGAUCAGUUCAGAGGAGGCUUCCAGGGGAACAGAGGCUCUCGUACUCCGGUUAACCUGUCAGCGGCGGCUGUGUCGGACCCAUCUGCAUCUUCUACUGGUAUGAUUGCACAAGCUGUUGCAUUGCUAAGCCAUGCGAUCGGGCAGAAGUCAGCUCCGGUGACUAACUGUGCUGCUCUUCAGCUGGGUGCUGGUCAUUCAAAUAUUGCAUCGGACAAGGGCAAAGGUGUGGCGGUAGAUAUGGAUGAUUAUCCAGUGGUGAAAGAAACAUCUAGUAAACAGCCGUACUGCUAUCGUUGUUUGACCAAAGGACAUGCCAUGAAAGGUUGUACUGCUAAGCUGUUUUGUGACAUCUGUCGUGCUGAUGCCCACAACACGGAAAGGUGUCCGAAGUUCAGGGGGGACAAACCUAGUGCCUUAACCUGCGGUUACGCCGUGGAUGGUUUAGGUUUCUACUACAUCCCCUUUGUGCCGCAACAGAGAAAUAAGACCGUGUCUUUGUUGGCCUCAGUGAAGAUCACUAGCGGUGUGCUGUCAGAGUCGCAAGUUGUGGCUGAAUUAGAGAGAUUGGUCUCAGGCAAUUGGAAUUGGGUUGUGGAGAAAUCUGGUCCGAACUGUUUCAGGACAGUGUUUCCAUCGCGAGAGGACUUGGACCAUAUGUUGGAGUGGGGGGUGGUCCAAACAAAAUACAAUGCGGCCAUGAAGAUUGAAGAACCAGUCGCUGCUAAGAUGCCUAAGGCUGUACUUAAAAAAAUAUGGCUCCAGUUUACGGGUUUACCUUCUGAAAUGAAACAGUAUUUGUUGAUAUGGGCUGUUGGAUCAAUCUUGGGGGUGACAAAGGCUGUCGAUAUGAAGUUUACGAACAAGUUUGAUGUUUGCCGUCUUCAAGUACUUGUUCUUGAUCCAAACCUCAUUCCUCAGUUUGUGGAUAUUGUCAUCGGUGACCAUUUAUAUGAGCUGCAAUUUCGGGUAGAGGAAAAUGUGGACUCUGAUAACCCGGUUCUAAUGGACAUGGAUGAUGAGGAUUUUGGAGAUGAUGAACCUUAUGGUGCUGAUGGAAAUGGGCCUGUCCCACAGGAUAAGGAAGGGGGCACUAGAAAGAAAAAUGAUUUGGCGAGUAGCUCGACUAGUAAAAUUGGUGGCAACGGUCAGAAUGGCAGGCGGGUGCUCGAGGCUGUCUUGCAAGAACAAUUUGUUCCUGCAGACACCGUCACUCGAUCACAUAGAGACCAGAUCAGUUGUGGUGUGGUGCCGAGGUCGCCCAUUUCUAGGGGCUCGACAAGUAACUCUUUGGGUACAGUGAGCAAGGAGAUGGCUGGGGUCUUGACACCUAAAGCUUCGAUGUUGGCUGCUGUCUCGGAGAGUCUUCUUGGCAAUGCGGUAUCGAAAAGAAGCAAAAGGAGAGCAAAUUUAAGCACUGGGGAUUCUAUUGAGCGAGCUACCAAGCUGAAGGCUGCUAGGAACCUGGAUAAAUCUUUUACUGAAGAAGUUUGUGGAUUUUCUUUCUAA
rnacentral:misc_RNA from 1 species